rnacentral:misc_RNA from 1 species
UUUCCGUAGGUGAACCUGCGGAAGGAUCAUUGCUGGAACGCGCCUCGGCGCACCCAGAAACCCUUUGCGAACUUAUACCUUACUGUUGCCUCGGCGCAGGCUGGCCUCUUCACUGAGGCCCCCCGGAGACGGGGAGCAGCCCGCCGGCGGCCAACCCAACUCUUGUUUUUACACUGUAUCUCUGAGUAAAAAAACAUAAAUGAAUCAAAACUUUCAACAACGGAUCUCUUGGUUCUGGCAUCGAUGAAGAACGCAGC